rnacentral:misc_RNA from 1 species
AGCAGGAAUAGCUCCCGAGUUUUGCGGCCUCCAGGUGGUGGAUCCAAUUUUUCAUUAGGUUUUGAUGAACCAACAGAACAACCUGUGAGGAAGAACAAAAUGGCCUCUAAUAUCUUUGGGACACCUGAAGAAAAUCAAGCUUCUUGGGCCAAGUCAGCAGGUGCCAAGUCUAGUGGUGGCAGGGAAGACUUGGAGUCAUCUGGACUGCAGAGAAGGAACUCCUCUGAAGCAAGCUCCGGAGACUUCUUAGAUCUGAA